rnacentral:rRNA from 1 species
GGAUCGGAGUGAAAGGCUAAUCAAACUCGGCGAUAUCUGGUUCUCCCCGAAAUAUAUUUAGGUAUAGCCUGGUGCGUUUCGUCGCGGGUGUAGAGCACUGUUUGGGCGCGGGGCCCCACAAGGUUACCAACCUCAGACAAACUCCGAAGACCGUGGACGUAAGAGCACUGGAGUCAGGGGCCGGGGGAUAAACUUCGGUUCCGAGAGGGAAACAACCCAGACCGUCGGCUAAGGUCCCUAAAUAACGGCUAAGUGGUUAAAAGGAUGUGGCGCUGCACAGACAACCAGGAUGUUGGCUUAGA